AUUGAACGCUGGCGGCAGGCCUAACACAUGCAAGUCGAGCGGAUGAAGGGAGCUUGCUCCUGGAUGCAGCGGCGGACGGGUGAGUAAGGCAUAGGAAUCUGACUGGCAGUGGGGGAUAAGGUCCGGAAACGGGCGCGAAUAUCGCAUACGUCCUGAGGGAGAAAGGGGGGGAUCUUUAGACAACACGCGAUCAGAUGAGCCUAGGUCGGAUUAGCGAGUUGGUGGGGUAAAGGCCUACCAAGGCGACGAUCCGUAACUGGUCUGAGAGGAUGAUCAGCCACCCUGGACCUGAGACCCGGUCCAGCGCCCUAGGGGAGGCACCAGUGGGGAAUUUUGGCCAAUGGGCGAAGCCCUGCUCCAGCCCUGCCGCGUGUGUGAAGAGGGUCUUCGGUUUGUAAAGCCCUUUAAGUUGGGAGAAAGGGUAGUAAGUUAAUACCUUGCUGUUUUAACGUUCCCAACAGAAUAAGCACCGCCAACCUCCGU
rnacentral:rRNA from 1 species